rnacentral:rRNA from 1 species
AUUCCAGCUCCAGUAGCGUAUAUUAAAGUUGUUGCAGUUAAAAAGCUCGUAGUUGGAUUUCUGGUUGGGAAGGUCGGUCCCGCUCGCAAGGGCGGAGCACCAGAGCCGUUUCUGGCCAUCCUUGGGAGGAUCGUGUCUGGCAUUAGUUUGUCGGGCUCAGGAUUCCCAUCGUUUACUGUGAAAAAAUUAGAGUGUUUAAAGCAGGCUUAUGCCGUGAAUACAUUAGCAUGGAAUAAUAAGAUAGGACUUUGGUACUAUUUUGUUGGUUUGCAUACCAAGGUAAUGAUUAAUAGGGAUAGUUGGGGGUAUUCAUAUUUAAUUGUCAGAGGUGAAAUUCUUGGAUUUAUGAAAGAUGAACUUAUGCGAAAGCAUUUACCAAGGAUGUUUUCAUUA